AGUGAAUGUAAUAGGAAUGAAGUUUCAUCUGGAAAAUGACGGAAGAGCAAUUCUUUGUUGGGUUUUUCCGUCGCAAACAUUUUAGUUUAUUCAGGUUGAUCAAAUUGAGACAAAAUAAUUUGUUGGGUUUUUGUUUUUAUUAUUUGCCGCACCGAGUAAUGUUUGAUUCUCAAGCGAAGUUACCAAUUUUGACUGCUGAGACUGUGAUGGCUAAUGAUCACAUACACAAACUGACAACACAGGCUAGAAGGCAAAGUAGCGC
rnacentral:lncRNA from 1 species